ACGGGUGAGUAACACGUAUCCAACCUACCGGCUAUUCCGGGAUAGCCUUUCGAAAGAAAGAUUAAUACCGGAUAGCAUAGCGAGAAGGCAUCUUCUUGCUAUUAAAGAAUUUCGAUAACCGAUGGGGAUGCGUUCCAUUAGUUUGUUGGCGGGGUAACGGCCCACCAAGACAUCGAUGGAUAGGGGUUCUGAGAGGAAGGUCCCCCCACAUUGGAACUGAGACACGGUCCAAACUCCUACGGGAGGCAGCAGUGAGGAAUAUUGGUCAAUGGACGAGAGUCUCGAACCAGCCAAGUAGGCCGUGAAGGAUGACUGUCCCUAUGGGUUGUAAACUUCUUUUAUAGUGGGAAUAAAGUGAGCCACGUGUGGUCUUUUUGUAUGUACCAUACGAAGUAAGGAUCGGCUAACUCCGUGCCAGCCGCCGC
rnacentral:rRNA from 1 species